GUCUAUGGCCAUGCCACCCUGAACAAGCCCCAUGUCUGAUCCCGGAAGCUAAGUAGGGUCUGGUUAGUACUUGGAUGGGAGACCACCUAGGAAGACCAGGUGCUGUAGGCA
rnacentral:rRNA from 1 species